UGGCAGAUAAGAGAAAGGCCAGAUCCAACAAACAUUGACUGAGCCAUCACCAAAUGUGGGGCCCCGUGGCAUAGACUCGAAGGGUCGUUCUGCAUAAAAAAGUUGAUGACAGCAUAGCUUCGUUUAUACAGCUGGGGCCCUCUGGAGUCUACAGAUGGAUUGUUAGAGAUGUGGCCUGCCAGCUGCCUUUGGAGAGUAGCCAAAUCUGCUGGGACCCAGCCACUUCAGGCACAGAUG
rnacentral:lncRNA from 1 species